rnacentral:rRNA from 1 species
UACGGAGGGUGCAAGCGUUAAUCGGAAUUACUGGGCGUAAAGCGCACGCAGGCGGCUGAGUAAGUCGAUUGUGAAAGCCCUGGGCUUAACCUGGGAAUUGCAGUCGAUACUACUCAGCUAGAGUAUGGGAGAGGGUAGUGGAAUUCCCGGUGUAGCGGUGAAAUGCGUAGAUAUCGGGAGGAACAUCAGUGGCGAAGGCGGCUACCUGGCCAAAUACUGACACUCAGGUGCGACAGCGUGGGGAGCAAACAGG